GACGAACCGUGCGAACGUUGUUCGGAAUCACUGGGCUUAAAGGGCGCGUAGGCGGGCAUCCAAGUCAGUGGUGAAAUCCUCCGGCCUAACCGGAGAAGAGCUGUUGAUACUGGGUGCCUCGAGUGGUGCAGGGGUCUGCGGAACUUCCGGUGGAGCGGUGAAAUGCGUAGAGAUCGGAAGGAACGCCGGUGGCGAAAGCGGCGGACUGGGCACCUCCUGACGCUGAGGCGCGAAAGCCAGGGGAGCAAACGGG
rnacentral:rRNA from 1 species